AGUGAACGCUGGCGGUAGGCCUAACACAUGCAAGUCGAACGGCAGCACAGUAAGAGCUUGCUCUUACGGGUGGCGAGUGGCGGGCGGGUGAGGAAUACAUCGGAAUCUACUUUUUCGUGGGGGAUAACGUAGGGAAACUUACGCUAAUACCGCAUACGACCUACGGGUGAAAGCAGGGGAUCUUCGGACCUUGCGCGAUUGAAUGAGCCGAUGUCGGAUUAGCUAGUUGGCGGGGUAAAGGCCCACCAAGGCGACGAUCCGUAGCUGGUCUGAGAGGAUGAUCAGCCACACUGGAACUGAGACACGGUCCAGACUACUACGGGAGGCAGCAGUGGGGAAUAUUGGACAAUGGGCGCAAGCCUGAUCCAGCCAUACCGCGUGGGUGAAGAAGGCCUUCGGGUUGUAAAGCCCUUUUGUUGGGAAAGAAAAGCAGCAGGUUAAUACCCCGCUGUUCUGACGGUACCCAAAGAAUAAGCACCGGCUAACUUCGUG
rnacentral:rRNA from 1 species